UGUCGGGAUCGCCCGGGUUGUCGGUGACGGCGUUGUCGGCGUCGUGGAAGGUGACUUCGCCGUCGAACAGCGGUGCCGUCCGCUCCCACCAC
rnacentral:tRNA from 1 species